UACCAGCACCCCGAGUGGUCGGGACGUUUUAUUGGGCCUAAAGCAUCCGUAGCCGGUUCUACAAGUCUUCCGUUAAAUCCAACUGCUUUAACAGGUGGGGCUGCGGAAGAUACUAUAGAUCUAGGAGGCGGGAGAGGCAAGCGGUACUCGAUGGGUAGGGGGUAAAAAUCCGUUUGAUCCAUUGAAGACCACCAGUGGCGAAGGCGGCUUGCCAGAACGCGCUCGACGGUGAGGGAUGAAAGCUGGGGGGAGCAAACCGG
rnacentral:rRNA from 1 species